GACCCCGAAGACCAUAGAGUCCGCGGGCGGGCAGAGCGGCCGGAAGCAGGGGCCGCUCCAUCCCCGCUUCCGGCCGGGCCUCGCUGCUCCGGGAACGGCUGCGGCCGCGGACGCAGUUUCCAUGGGGACAGAAGAUGGCGUCGCGAGGUAAACGGCUGUCCUCCACCCCGCUGGAAAUCCUGUUCUUUCUGAACGGGUGGUACUAUGCUACCUAUUUUCUCCUGGAACUCUUCAUAUUUCUGUAUAAAGCUCUCCUCCUACCAUAUCCAACAGCCAAUCUAGUACUGGAUGUGGUGAUGCUUCUCCUUUACCUCGGAAUUGAAGUAAUUCGACUGUUUUUUGGUACAAAGGGGAACCUCUGCCAGCGAAAGAUGCCACUUGGGUUUAGCGUGGCCUUGACCUUCCCAUCUGCCAUGAUGGCCUCCUAUUACCUGCUGCUGCAGACCUACGUGCUCCGCCUGGAAGCCAUCAUGAACAGCAUCUUGCUCUUCUUCUGUGGUUCAGAGCUGCUGCUUGAGGUGCUCACCCUGACUGCUUUCUCCAGGGAGAAUAAACUACGUAACACAUGGUCUACCCUACUAUACCUGGCUCAGAUCUGAAAGAAACAAGAUAGUCCUUACCUGCCAUGGUGGUUAUAGGGUGCUGAGGCCUUCAUGAUCCUGAUUAACCCAGGAGAAAAUGACAGUGUUGAAGUUUGUUCAUUACUGUUCAGCUGGAGUCAAGUGGAUGUGGAAUCCCCUUCCAUGAUUAAGAGUUCAGGGCCUCUCUCCUUAGACCAGUACUAGUUGACCUGAGACCAGUACUAUGCUACUGUACACCUGCAAUGUUCUCUCUGCAAUGACAUUUUGGCCAGAGAAUUUGGGAGAAGUGAGGGAAGAGGAGGGGAGAGAUACUUCCUCCAUCUACAUAACAAAACUCGUUACUGGGAUGGGGAAGAGACAUACACCACAGAAGACUGGAGGUCAAGUGAGAAGUAGAAAGAAAACGGGAGGUAAGCCAAGAUAAGACAUGUCCACAGACUGAGCAGAUGGUACACAGCUGACAGCAGGGACUCCUAGUAAAACGCUUAGUAAAAAGCAACCCUCGUAUCUGGGGAACUCCCACUAUAUUUCAAUGGCCCAAACACUGUACCCCACAGGAAAAUCACCACAGCACUUUGGUAUGGUGGUGUGCACAAGGGCUCACAAAUGCUUGUACGCAGCUGGGAAUGUGGCUGUACACUGUAAAGUCACUCAGUUAAACUUGUUCACUCUCUCCAAUUUAAUAGUCUACUCCAGGCCUGGUUAAGGUGGAACCCAACAGAAGAACACGAUCACAUAACCUUAGAAGUCUUGGAAGCAGAGAGAUGCUGUUAGCAGUCAAAUGUGGGCAGAAAGGAGAGUGCUCCUUAAACUAACACUUGCUGAUAAACUCAACUCCAGGUUCAAGCAUGCAGGGACCUAUUCUCUCAGCAAACACCUUACUUUCUCCACCAUAGCCUAUCACCGGUGCCUAUCAUGGCAUACUUGUGCUUCAUAUCUUAUCCAUAUGGCAACUUGCUUCUUCCCUGAGUUCUCUCAAAGCAAAGAAAAAGGUAUCAGUAAAUGGGAUCCUCUGAAAGUUAGCCAUCUUCCCACUUUUUCAAAGAUUGUUUUAUACCUAUGGCUACAAUCCCAGAGUAGCAACCAUUUUUAAGCAGAGGAAGUCUACUAGCUGUACUUAGUGAAUUAAUAGAACCCAUGUCUGUCAACGUGACAGAGCAGAAAACAGCACUCAGUCACCACCAUCAUUUCAGCAAAGAAACGGAACACUGAGGAGCACAUAGCUAAGCAGAAGUAGGAAUGUUAUCCCUAAUGUAACUGUACCUUUAUGCAGCUUAGGAAAAUUAGAAAAGGGUUGAAUUAUACAAAGACUCUGAAACAGAGGAACUUGAAAAUUCAAGUUGUCAAAGAAAAGCGUGUGCCUUUUAACCCAGAGCAAUGGGAGUUCACACUCUAUCCAUCUAGGCUCUCAAUCUAGUUAAAAGAACAGUUGUUCCUAUGCAAAUAGAGAAGUGGCCAUAUCUUCACCUUCAAUCAAUCAAUACAAGGUCCCAGUGGACCACCCAAUCAAUACAAGACACUCACUAUUUUGAGAGCAGGACCUAAGAAAUGACAGAACACAGGUGAUGAACCCCACCCCCACCCCCGUCAGAAAAGAAAAGUAAAGGCAGCUGGCUGCUUCACGCAGGGCAUUGCAGGGUGGCUGCACUUUGUGAGGUCAGGAUAAUCCAAGGUCUGGUCCUCAGGUUUUGUGGGUUCAGAAACUCAACUUUAAUAGUUCACCCAGGGUGAUUGUACCCUAGGAAAUAGAUUCAACGCUAACCAAACUCACAAGAGACUGAUUCAUAAACCAGAAUGCCAAUUUAUUAAUUUACAAUGAGAAAUAUAACUGCCAAGCAGACUGGAAUACUUGUGUCGGCUGGUCAGCGCAUUCUCUUCCCAGUAGGAGAGCCUAUUUGGGAAACCAAAUUAGUAUCAGAAGGUGGCUUGGUGAGUACAGAAUCAGAACAAAGGGAGUAAGGUGAACUCAACGGAUGCUAUCAUCAAGCUAAGAUAGUAUAAUGCAGCUUUAUUAGUGGGAAGCACUUGCCAAGCAGACUAAAAUAUCUGGUAAUUGAAAGGGCACUCUCUUCCCCUGGACAAUGCCGGAGAAACAUUGUUACACUCUUCUUUUCCAGCGCUCCUUUUGGUUGAUUCCUUACAGAGCACCCUUCCAACAUAUGUUUAUGACAAGAUUAUAGCCAUCUUUAUAAACAUUACCUGUAUAUUAAGGUGGCUGCUUGUUAAUUUAUACAGAGCACAUGUUACAGUUAAGCCCAUUCACUAUACUGAUUUAAGACAAAACCAUAUAAUUUAGAGUUGACAGGAACUUUAAACAUCAUGUAUCUACUUCAGAGCAGAAAUAAUACAGUGACUUGACCAAGGUCACACAAUGAGUCAGUGGCAAAACCAGACUAUAAUCUGAACCUCUCAGCACAGUGCUCUUUCUUAUACACAGCCUCAUUUUUGGGUCUACUAAUUAACCUUGCCAACACUCAUAACCACCACCACCCUCCCCCAAACUCCUCCACAUUGUAGGCAGAGCCCACACCACAGAAAACAAACCCACAAAUUUGCCCCCCUUCAUACAGAUGGUCUCCACGUACCCCCUCUUGGGACUCGGACGCACUCACGUUUCCGAGCCUGUGCCUCAAACUGUGACAGGUUCUGCCGGGUGGCCGGCCUCACGUCCACUUUUUCUCCAUUAAGAACCUUUCCUGGCAAGAGUUCCAACAAUUUGUGGACAGAGUUUUCAGAGGCUACCACCACCUCAGCAUACCUUGAAGAAGAAAAAUUAAAAAUGAGUGAGAUCUAUUAGCCAAUCAAAAGAACAAAGAAACUCUUCCACUUUUAGUGAAAGCUGGUAAAAUAAAAGAUAUCUUGCUAAUAACAUACACAAAACUACCAUCAAUAAAAA